rnacentral:misc_RNA from 1 species
GAUAAGCGCCACGGACGAUCAGGGAUCUGCGCUGGGCCCCGGCAGACAUUUUUAUACCCCGACACACUCAACAAUCAACACAAAAAAAAGAACUCUUCGGGGCUUGUCAAAUUUGUGAUUUGUGCAGACCAAAGAACUCCAGACCCGUCACGACGAAGAACCCGACACGCGAAGUUCGCCCGCCUCCUCGGAUAUAAAAACAACGCCAGGCAGCAAAUGCCGUUUGUGGACGGGUCCGGCCGGACGGAGAUCGCAUCGAGCCGUGGAAAGGAGGAAACAAGUGAAAGUCAACUAGGAAUUUUAAUUAAUUUUAUUUAACUAAUUAGACGGCGGAAAAGAACUAUUUCAAAAUGGCUGCAGACCAUUUCUGUUUACGAUGGAACAAUUACCAAAGCAAUAUGGUCUCUGAACUUGAUAUUUUAAGGACUGAAGAAUAUUUGGUUGAUGUUACUCUGUGCUGUGAAGGGCAUAAAUUUAGAGCACAUAAAGUGAUACUUUCUGCAUGCAGUCCGUAUUUCCGAAAUGUUUUCAAGGAAAACCCGUGUGAACAUCCGGUUGUAAUUUUAAAAGAUGUAUCUCCUGACGAUGUGGAAGCCUUAUUAAGUUUUGUAUACCAGGGUGUGGUUUAUGUCUCAGAAAAGAAACUGUCGUCGUUUUUACAAACGGCGGAACUUUUACAAAUCAAAGGUCUGGCGGGUGCAGCUUCUAGUUUUAACGAUGAACAAACAAAACAAGCGGCGACACCUCAGAGCCCAAUAAAAAGAAGGAAAGGUGCUCCUGUCAGGAUAGUUAAACACGAAGACGGAGAAGAGGACAGCAAUCAAAUGGAGGCCGAAGGAGAAAACGUAAAGAAUGAGUUCUCAGAAGAAAUGGAUGCUUCCAAAAACGAUGAAGAUGGGUCUAUGGGUGAGGAGUCGGAGUCCGAGAAUGGAGGCGAAGUCAAUACAAGCAAUUAUGGAUCAGUGGAUAUGAGAGGGGAUGAAAACAUGGUUAGCGAUAGGGAUAGAGUUAUGGGUAAUUCAAGGGAUCAAAUGGUGACACUUCUUCAACAGACUUUGGCUAGACAAAGGACAGCAGCACCGUCACAAUCUUUGUUAGAAAAUUCAGUUCAAGGCCAAUUUCCAGUACCUGUUCAAAACCAAGGAUCAAUACCAGAACUUUUAUCACCAGCAGGGUCUCAUCUUGCUCUGGUAGGGACCUGCCCCCAUUGUGGCAUUAAGUACGAGAACCAAUCAGCCCUAAAGUACCAUGUGCGACUCGUCCACUCGGAUUUCACUAAUAAACAGUGUUGUUACCUUUGCCCACAGUCAUUUAUAACGAGGGACUGUUUCAAAUCGCACAUGCGGUCCGUUCAUAGCGUCAGAAAUUGAUCUGUAUGUAAUUGUCAAUUGCCUACGAUUAAAGUCAGGCCAGACUGAUUGGCACACAUUCAAAUGUGGAACAGUGAUCGAAACGGAAGGCGGCCUUGCCCACUGUGCACCAAGGUCAUAUCGAACAAGUCGAAUCUGUUGAAACACAUGCGGAUACGGC